rnacentral:rRNA from 1 species
GAUGAACGCUGGCGGCGUGCCUAAUACAUGCAAGUCGAGCGAACGGACGAGAAGCUUGCUUUUCUGAUGUUAGCGGCGGACGGGUGAGUAACACGUGGAUAACCUACCUAUAAGACUGGGAUAACUUCGGGAAACCGGAGCUAAUACCGGAUAAUAUUUUGAACCGCAUGGUUCAAUAGUGAAAGACGGUCUUGCUGUCACUUAUAGAUGGAUCCGCGCUGCAUUAGCUAGUUGGUAAGGUAACGGCUUACCAAGGCAACGAUGCAUAGCCGACCUGAGAGGGUGAUCGGCCAAACUGGAACUGAGACACGGUCCAGACUCCUACGGGAGGCAGCAGUAGGGAAUCUUCCGCAAUGGGCGAAAGCCUGACGGAGCAACGCCGCGUGAGUGAUGAAGGUCUUCGGAUCGUAAAACUCUGUUAUUAGGGAAGAACAUAUGUGUAAGUAACUGUGCACAUCUUGACGGUACCUAAUCAGAAAGCCACGGCUAACUACGUG